CAUGCAGUCGAGGGGUAUAGUUCUUCGGAACUAGAGACCGGCGCACGGGUGCGUAACGCGUAUGCAAUCUACCUUUUGCAGAGGGAUAGCCCAGAGAAAUUUGGAUUAAUACCUCAUAGUAUGUGAGAAUGGCAUCAUUUUCACAUUAAAGUCACAACGGCAAAAGAUGAGCAUGCGUCCCAUUAGCUUGUUGGUAAGGUAACGGCUUACCAAGGCUACGAUGGGUAGGGGUCCUGAGAGGGAGAUCCCCCACACUGGUACUGAGACACGGACCAGACUCCUACGGGAGGCAGCAGUGAGGAAUAUUGGACAAUGGGCGCAAGCCUGAUCCAGCCAUGCCGCGUGCAGGAUGACGGUCCUAUGGAUUGUAAACUGCUUUUGUACAGGAAGAAACACUGGUUCGUGAACCAGCUUGACGGUACUGUAAGAAUAAGGAUCGGCUAACUCCGUGCCAGCAGCCGCGGUAAUACGGAGGAUCCAAGCGUUAUCCGGAAUCAUUGGGUUUAAAGGGUCCGUAGGCGGUUUAGUAAGUCAGUGGUGAAAGCCCAUCGCUCAACGGUGGAACGGCCAUUGAUACUGCUAGACUUGAAUUAUUAGGAAGUAACUAGAAUAUGUAGUGUAGCGGUGAAAUGCUUAGAGAUUACAUGGAAUACCCAUUGCGAA
rnacentral:rRNA from 1 species